GACGAACGCUGGCGGCGUGCCUAAUACAUGCAAGUAGAACGCACAGUUUAUACCGUAGCUUGCUACACCAUAGACUGUGAGUUGCGAACGGGUGAGUAGCGCGUAGGUAACCUGCCUGGUAGCGGGGGAUAACUAUUGGAAACGAUAGCUAAUACCGCAUAAUAUUAAUUAUUGCAUGAUAAUUAAUUGAAAGGUGCAAUUGCACCACUACCAGAUGGACCUGCGUUGUAUUAGCUAGUAGGUGAGGUAACGGCUCACCUAGGCGACGAUACAUAGCCGACCUGAGAGGGUGAUCGGCCACACUGGGACUGAGACACGGCCCAGACUCCUACGGGAGGCAGCAGUAGGGAAUCUUCGGCAAUGGACGAAAGUCUGACCGAGCAACGCCGCGUGAGUGAAGAAGGUUUUCGGAUCGUAAAGCUCUGUUGUAAGAGAAGAACGGGUGUGAGAGUGGAAAGUUCACACUGUGACGGUAUCUCACCAGAAAGGGACGGCUAACUACGUG
rnacentral:rRNA from 1 species